rnacentral:tRNA from 1 species
AAUACAAUGCCGGAAAAACGGAUUACAUUGAUGUUGUAAAUUAUAAGCCACGCUUUUGUAUUU